rnacentral:piRNA from 1 species
GGGACUGUGUGAUCUUUCUGAGA